CUACGACAGGCCUGCAGUCACAACGACAUACAGUUCAAUUGACGUCCGCUUUCAUGAGAAGGCAAAAAUAGCCACGAGAUGCAGGGAGGAGAGGUGCUCUUAUCAGUCACAGAUAACAGCCAGAGCCAUGGUUUGGGGUGUCAGGGUGACCAUCAGCGUAAUCAUACACAUUUUGAUACAUAUUGUGAAGCAUCUGUAAACAAAUUGUUAUAUGAAUCAUUUAUUAACUGCACUGUAAUUUGUGUCCUGUCUCCAGAGUUGGUGGUGUGUGGAGAUUCCAAGGGAAACGUGGUUCAAGCAGCCACCAAACAUCAACUCCUGGAGCAGCAAGAAACCUGUAAGAGCUCUCCCUUUUCCUCUGAUGAAACUGAUGAUUGAUUUUCCCUAGGCACACAGUGACAGGAUCAGUGUACUGUGACUCAACAACAGCACGAUGAUCUCAGCAUCCCAUGACAAAACUGUGGGACAGAAACACCAAGAAACAGGUGUGUGUGUGGUUCUUGUUAUGGUCUUGGAGUUGAACCCACACUGCUCCAGUGAACUGGUGUGUGGCGAUGCACUGGGCGAGCUCUACUUCCUCUCCUGGAGAGAAUAACCACCCAGUGUACACACACAGUCCAUUUUAUACACACACUGCUCCAUAUACAUCCAAUCAUAAUUAACUAACUCUCACACGGAUAUGUCAGUACUACUGUAAUUGUAUGCAUAUUCUCUCAGGCAGCUCCAUCAAUGUUAUCUUCUACACACUAUCUAAUAUGCAUACUCUUUAUAUCUAAUACCUCUACUUAUAUAUGUACGUGCCUUAAAAACUCUAAGUGAAGAACCUCAAUGUAAAUCAGCUAUAGUGCAUAUUAUUUUAAGUUUACAUGAAACUAGAUUAUUGUCCUUGAUCCCCAGCUGUGUCAAACAAGUUAUUAAUAAACUUGUUUAUUUAAUAAAUACUAUACCACACUUUCAGAAUGGUUUCAUUAGGUUGUGUGGAUGACAACAGAGAUGGCAAUAUUUUAAAUGUUUAACAAUUUCCUGACACCUGUGUUCAAUUCUUUAUAAAGGCAUUGUUAGACUCGUAAGGAACCAUAACUUUGAAUAAUGGUUGAAUAAAGUGUUUUUGUAUUUUAUCACAGUGUGUUGUGCAUUAUACAUUUAAAUAGUGCAUUAUAAAU
ensembl:lncRNA